rnacentral:rRNA from 1 species
CAGUAGCCACGGUAAUACAGAGGGUGCAAGCGUUAAUCGGAUUUACUGGGCGUAAAGGGCGCGUAGGUGGUUAUGUAAGUGAGAUGUGAAAUCCCCGGGCUCAACCUGGGAACUGCAUCUUAUACUGCGUAGCUGGAGUGCAGUAGAGGGUAGUGGAAUUUCCGGUGUAGCGGUGAAAUGCGUAGAUAUCGGAAGGAACACCAGUGGCGAAGGCGGCUACCUGGACUGACACUGACACUGAGGCGCGAAAGCGUGGGGAGCAAACAGGAUUAGAUACCCCUGUAGUCCCUGUCUCUUAUAC